AUGCGAGGGACCAACUUACCGGCUCGACAGCGAUCGGCAGACUGAGGCCGUAAGCUACAGGUUGCCCCGCCCACGUGGGGCGCCCACGUGACACCCACCCGCCUAUCGCUGUAAUGAUCCGUCUAACGUCUCGUUACACAAACAUAAACCAGGGAAGAAAAGUUAAUAAAUGUAUAUUAAUAAUAUUAUUAAUAAUCCGGUGUGUUGGCAACAGUGGUUGACUACAUGCAGCGUUCAUUCAUCCGUCCACGCAGCAAUACUCAUUAGUUGGUCCACUGUUUUAUGCAAUGUAGAUAAUAAUAUAGUUAAUAAUGUGGUUUAAUCAAAGUGGUGUGUGGUCGCAGACUCGUGAUAUUUUGCUCUGAUAUUUGAGCAGAGCAGAGUAAACGUGUUCACAUUCAUCUCUACCACUGGGUGGCAGCAUGCGUCUAUUUACAGUUUUGUUAUCGAUCUGGGUUAUUACAGAUUUAUUUAAUGCUGCUCACGUCAUGUGCUGUUUAGGGUUUAUUUGCAACGUAUACAUUUUGCUAUAUUCAUGUCAGGUAACAGUAAAAAUGUGUUGGUCAUUAAGAAAUGAAUAAUGAGUUUAAGAAUAAAAACGUCUGAUCAAAAUCAUUCUUAUGUAGACCGGCUUAUUCUUGUUGUUCCACACCUGUUAUUAUUAUUAUUUUUUUAAUGCUUUUGAGUAAUUAGUAAUAAAUAUAAUUUGUUAUAUGUAUUGCAAACAAUAUUCAAUAACUCCACUUGUUGUAGGAGCUCAGUCAGCUUUUGUUGAGCCAUGGGGUGACGAGUCACCUGCAUGUUGCUGUUGCUUUCCCAUCGUUGUGUGUGAGACACUUCAUUCCAGGUUUCACAUGCAACAGUUUGUGGUGGAUUCCAACAUCCGGUUUAGCGUUCAAAAACCAUUUGCCCUUCCGCGGUCAAACACCUGACAAACACCGUGCAUCCACAACCUAAAUACCGAGCUAAUUCCUGCUUAGUGGACCGUCACCCAGUGUACACAACGGGGGACACAGUUUAUUAUAAGCACACGCCUGUUAUUAAAGAAUCAGGAGUGCAUUUUUUAAGUGCAUUUGUAUGAGGAUUUAUGUUCUCAUACAAAAUGGAACCCAUGCUGAAUUCAAAAUGGAGGUCAAGUUUUACUUUUUUGAGGAAGUUCCUGCAUUAGAUCAACAAAAUGGGCGGUUAUAAUGAACGUGAUGUCAUCCCUUGUUUGUGGCUCACAGCUUCAGCAUAGACAGCAAACGUGUGCUGUGGCCUGCUGAUGCCUCUAGUCCUCCUUUGGAGAAAUUUACUGUAGCACAACUAUUUUCUAUUCAAUCCGUUUUAGUACAAUUUAUUCAUCUCUGGAGUUUCUUCAAGUCUACCCAAAGAUUUUGGCUUUUGAGUAAUUAUUAAUAAUCAUUUUGGAUAUUUAGUGCAAAUAAUAUUCAAUAAGACCAUUGUUAGCUAUACUUGAGCUUUUGUUACUUAUUCAAAACUGAAGACAGGAAGGAAGGAAAUACAAAUGUAGGGCUUUAAAUCUGCUCUGCUCUAAGCGUGAUGUUUAACAAAUGAAUGCACAGAAAAUGAACUGUCUUGUUAUUUAUUGAAAUAAUAAUACAUGUACACCAGCGACUUUGUGAAUCAUCUUAAAAAAGAACAGGAAUUACAAGUUACAAUAAACAUUAUUUUAGCGUUAUUUUACGGUAAAAUACCACAAAUGGCGUUUGCACUAUGUUACUGUAAAAUGGAUUACUGUAUGUUACCAUAAACUUGAACGAAUUUGACUGUGAAUUAACUGCAAUUUACUGGCAGUUGACACUAGUAAUUUACUGUUUUAUUUACCGUGCCCUACCGUAAUUUACGGUAUGUUGUUGUAUAUUGGAUUACAGUUUGUUACCAUACGAUUACUGUUUUUGUGUUAUAAAUACCAGAAUGUCAAUGUCAAUUUUAUUUAUACAGCACUUUUAAAGGCCAGUGGCCAGCCAAAGUGCUUUACAG
ensembl:lncRNA